GAUGGUGUAGCUCAGCGGUUAGAGCGGUUGACUGUUAAUCAACGGGUAAUCCAUCCACCAUCGCCA
rnacentral:tRNA from 1 species